rnacentral:lncRNA from 1 species
AAGCUGGGGAGGGAAAGGAGAAGAGCAGGGAGAAAGGACUUCCUGGAGCCAGGAAGGCAGCAGUGACCCCGAGGGCAACAGGAUGAAUCCACCCCUGUGAGCGGGCCAGCAGAUCUCACAGCUGCCUCCUGACAGGCCAGAUUUCCCUACAGUGCCUCAGCUGCUGCGGGAGGCCCCCAAACCAGUGGGCAGACAGACGGAGAAGAAAAAGGGAAACUGAGGCACACAGCCACCUGAUGUAACCCUGCCUCCCAUAGUGGGCAGAGCCAGCUACUUCAGAGGAUGGGGUAACUACCCCACAGUGGGCGGAGAUGAGAUAAUCUGUCCCCUACACAGGCCUUCUCAUCCCUAACAGAAACUGGCUUGCACUUUA